rnacentral:tRNA from 1 species
UGCCCCAUGGCUUAGUUGGCUAUAGCCUCCGACUGUUAUCGUUAUACGAAGUAAGCGGAAGGUCGAAAGUUCGAGCUUCUCUGGGGCAG